rnacentral:RNase_P_RNA from 1 species
CGAGUCGGCCGGGCGGCCGCGUCGGGCCCGGUGUCUCCUCGGAGCACGGGCUCGCCGAGGAAAGUCCGGACUCCACAGGGCAGGGUGGUGGGUAACGCCCACCCGGGGUGACCCGCGGGAAAGUGCAACAGAAAGCAGACCGCCUCCGCCUUGGCGGAGGUAAGGGUGAAACGGUGGUGUAAGAGACCACCAGCGUCCGGGGUGACUCGGGCGGCUGGGUAAACCCCACCCGGAGCAAGGCCAAGAAGGGGGCUUCGGCCCCCGCGCAGGCGUUCGAGGGCUGCCCGCCCGAGCCUGCGGGUAGGCCGCUGGAGGUCGCCGGCGACGGCGGCCCGAGAUGGAUGGUCGCCACGCCUCGCGAGGGGCGUACAGAAUCCGGCUUAUCGGCCGACUCGUCCG